GCCAAAGAUUAAUUUUUUUAAUGAAAAAUUAAAUCCUGAAUAAUAAAACAAUGCCACUCUAUGUAAACACUUCAGUUUCUUUAGUGCAGGGUUUUCUUCUCCAAUGAGGAACUGAGGCUUUUCUUCUCCAGUAAUGAAAUAAGGACUUUUUGCACCUAGAUCUACAGCUAGUAUAGGCAGUCAGUGGUUCACCUUCUCUAGGAAUUCCCAACAAUAAUCAUUAUCUUUGAAAUAGAGUAAAAUUGGCAAUUUGCGCGUGAAUUUAGUUUGGUUAAAAAUUUGACAGAGAAGGUCCAGUCUGAUAAUAUCCAGUUUAUUUUGUAUUGUUUGAGGGUUUCAAUGUUUAUAGAAGUGGAGGUAAUCUGCCAGUUAAAACUUCCCUUGCC